rnacentral:rRNA from 1 species
ACGGAAGGCAGCAGUGAGGAAUAUUGGUCAAUGGACGGAAGUCUGAACCAGCCAAGUAGCGUGAAGGAUGACUGCCCUAUGGGUUGUAAACUUCUUUUGUUUGGGAAUAAAGUCAGGGAUGUAUCCCUGUUUGUAUGUACCUUUCGAAUAAGCAUCGGCUAAUUCCGUGCCAGCAGCCGCGGUAAUACGGAAGAUGCGAGCGUUAUCCGGAUUUAUUGGGUUUAAAGGGAGCGUAGGCGGGUUGUUAAGUCUGCGGUCAAAUGUCAGGGCCCAACCUUGGCAUGCCGUGGAUACUGGCAGUCUUGAAUACACACAAGGAAGAUGGAAUUCGUCGUGUAGCGGUGAAAUGCUUAGAUAUGACGAAGAACUCCGAUUGCGAAGGCAGUCUUCUGGGGUGCGAUUGACGCUGAGGCUCGAAAGUGCGGGUAUCAAACAGGAUUAGAUACCCUGGUA